rnacentral:tRNA from 1 species
GUGUCGUUAGCUCAACUGGAUAGAGCACGAUCCUUCUAAGAUUGGGGUUACAGGUUCGAGUCCUGUACGAUGCGCC